UACGUAGGGGGCAAGCGUUGGUCCGGAAUCAUUGGGCGUAAAGAGCGUGUAGGCGGCCUGGUAAGUCCGCUGUGAAAGUCCAGGGCUCAACCCUGGAAUGCCGGUGGAAACUGUCAGGCUCGAGUCCGGAAGAGGCGAGUGGAAUUCCUGGUGUAGCGGUGAAAUGCGCAGAUAUCAGGAGGAACACCGAUGGCGAAGGCAGCUCGCUGGGACGGUACUGACGCUGAGACGCGAAAGCGUGGGGAGCGAACAGG
rnacentral:rRNA from 1 species